rnacentral:rRNA from 1 species
GGGUUAAUAUUCCGAUACUUGUUUAUGAUGCGAUGGAGGGACGGAGAAGGUUAUGCCAGCUUGGCGAUGGUUGUCCAAGUGGAAGGAUGUAGUUAGGUUUAGUAGGCAAAUCCGCUAGACUAUUAAUGAGAUCUGAUAGCAAGCUGUACUUGUACAGCGAAGUGGCAAAUACCCUGCUUCCAGGAAAAGCUUCUAAGCAAUAGUCAUAAAGAAAUCGUACCCUAAACCGACACAGGUGGUCAGGUAGAGAAUACCAAGGCGCUUGAGAGAACUCUGCUGAAGGAACUAGGCAAAAUGGUACCGUAACUUCGGGAGAAGGUACGCUGCCGGUGGUGAGUAGACAUGCUCUACAAAGCUAUUGGCAGUCGCAGAUACCAGGCCGCUGCAACUGUUUAUUAAAAACACAGCACUCUGCAAACACGAAAGUGGACGUAUAGGGUGUGAUGCCUGCCCGGUGCUGGAAGGUUAAUUGAUGGGGUUAGCGUAAGCGAAGCUCUUGAUCGAAGCCCCAGUAAACGGCGGCCGUAACAAUAACGGUCCUAAGGUAGCGAAAUUCCUUGUCGGGUAAGUUCCGACCUGCACGAAUGGCAUAAUGAUGGCGGCGCUGUCUCCAGCAGAGACUCAGUGAAAUCGAAAUCGCAGUGAAGAUGCUGUGUACCCGCGGCUAGACGGAAAGACCCCGUGAACCUUUACUACAGCUUUACAUUGAACUUUGACCUUACCUGUGUAGGAUAGGUGGGAGGCUUUGAAGCAGGCACGCUAGUGUCUGUGGAGCCAUCCUUGAAAUACCACCCUGGUAAUGUUGGGGUUCUAACUCAAGCUUAACAGAGCUGAGGACAAUGUAUGGUGGGUAGUUUGACUGGGGCGGUCUCCUCCUAAAGAGUAACGGAGGAGUACGAAGGUGCGCUCAGAACGGUCGGAAAUCGUUCGAAGAGUAUAAAGGCAAAAGCGCGCUUAACUGCGAGACCCACAAGUCGAGCAGGUACGAAAGUAGGUCUUAGUGAUCCGGUGGUUCUGUAUGGAAGGGCCAUCGCUCAACGGAUAAAAGGUACUCUGGGGAUAACAGGCUGAUACCGCCCAAGAGUUCAUAUCGACGGCGGUGUUUGGCACCUCGAUGUCGGCUCAUCUCAUCCUGGGGCUGAAGCAGGUCCCAAGGGUAUGGCUGUUCGCCAUUUAAAGAGGUACGCGAGCUGGGUUUAGAACGUCGUGAGACAGUUCGGUCCCUAUCUACCGUGGGCGUUGGAAAUUUGAGAGGAUCUGCUCCUAGUACGAGAGGACCAGAGUGGACGAACCUCUGGUGUUUCGGUUGUCACGCCAGUGGCAUUGCCGAGUAGCUAUGUUCGGAUGGGAUAACCGCUGAAAGCAUCUAAGCGGGAAGCCCACCUUAAGAUUAGAUUUCCCUAAAGAGCCGUUGUAGACUACGACGUUGAUAGGUUGGGUGUGGAAGCACAGCGAUGUGUGUAGCUAACCAAUACUAAUUGCUCGUUUGGCUUGGCU